GGAAUUUCCGUGUGUUCGAUGGAGAAAUCUGGUGAAUUAAAUAUGAAAGAAGAGUCGUAAAUCUGGGAGGAAGGAGGUGUGCAAUGAAUGGGGGAGGUUGUGGCAUGCUUGAACCUGAAGGAACAUAAGAAGAGCCCUGCUGGAGCAGACCGAGGGUCCAUCUAGUCCAGCGCUCUGUUCACACAGUGGCCAGCCAGCCAUCGGCCAGGGAUGAACAAGCAGGACAUGGUGCAACAGUACCCUCCCACCCAUGUUCCCCAGCAACUGGUGCACACAGGAAGAGAGAUGGCUACCACGCAACUAGUUCAGAUGACUUGGGGAAAAUGUUUUCAUGUCCAGAAUGUGGGAAGAUUUUUAACAAGAAAGCCAACAUGUGGAGCCACCAGAAGAGGCACACGGCAGAGAGGCCCUUUGGGUGCCAGGACUGUGGGAAAACAUUCAAAAAUAAAGGGGACCUGGUGACACAUCAGAACACCCACACGGGGGAGAAGCCCCACAAGUGCUUUGAAUGUGGGAAAAGGUUUAGCACCAUUAGAGUCCUCUCCCGACAUCACAGAAUUCACACCGGAGAAAAACCCUAUACUUGCCCCACGUGUGGGAAACAAUUCAACUUAAAAGGAAACCUUGAUCGUUAUCAAAGAAUCCAUGUUGAAUAGACAAGAGGGUCUUUUAGAGAAACUCGCUCUUGGUGCCCAGAGUAAACUGUGGUAGAAAAAGUUUUGCAAGAAAAUAACAGUUUCUUUUUUGCGGAAUGAUUCUUUUUAUUAAGAACCUAAGUUCAAUUUCAAGCUGGAGUUAUCCAUGCUUAGGGCAGUGGUUUUCAUACUGAGAUCUAGGGAUGCUUGAGGAUUCCUCAAGGCAAAGAUCAGUGAUGGUAAGCAUUUGGGGAAAGGCUGAGCACACACUUUGUAUGCAGGAGGUGCUGGAUCCAGUUCCUGGUAUCCCCAACUAACAGGAUUGGAUACCAAGUGAUGGGGGAAAGACCAUCUCUGCUGGAGAGGCACUAAAAGUCAGAGUAGACCAGGGAUGGGCAGGAGAUAUAUCUAGAUUUCCUGGAAUAUCUCUGGGUGAUUUGCUGUAGAUCAGCAAAGAUUCCUGACUCAAAAGUUGUUUAACAAAAGCAGCACUAAACUAACUCCACUUCCAU